AUGCACCUGGGCAAGGAUUCUG
rnacentral:miRNA from 1 species